GAUGAACGCUGGCGGCGUGCUUAAUACAUGCAAGUCGAACGAGGAGCUUUUGUCUUCGGAUAGAGGAAUUCCUAGUGGCGAACGGGUGAGUAACGCGUUGGUGACCUGCCCCAAAGAAGGGGAUAACAGUUCGAAAGGACUGCUAAUACCCUAUGUGAUCGGUUGGAUUAGAUGCCUACCGAUUAAAGGAGUAAUCCGCUUUGGGAGGGACCUGCGUCCCAUCAGCUAGUUGGUAGGGUAAUGGCCUACCAAGGCAAUGACGGGUAGGGGACCUGAGAGGGUGGACCCCCACAAUGGCACUGAAACACGGGCCAUACACCUACGGGUGGCAG
rnacentral:rRNA from 1 species